UACGAAGGGGGCUAGCGUUGCUCGGAAUUACUGGGCGUAAAGGGCGCGUAGGCGGCCUGCUAAGUCGGACGUGAAAUCUCCCGGCUCAACUGGGAGGGUGCGCCGAAAACUGGAGAGCUAGAGUACUGGAUGGGAGAGUGGAAUUCCCGGUGUAGAGGUGAAAAUUCGUAGAUAUCAGGAGGAACACCAGUGGCGAAGGCGGCUCACUGGCCCGAUACUGACGCUGAGGUGCGAAAGCGUGGGGAGCGAACAGG
rnacentral:rRNA from 1 species